rnacentral:lncRNA from 10 species
CUAUAUAUGUAUAGCGGUGACCAAAUAUCCUAAAAGACAUUGCACUUCAUCAUUCCAUGCCUUCAGACAUUUAAGGGCCAUGGAUGGUGAUCUCCUCCAGAGACAAAAUAAAUGCUGGUGCACAACAGGUGGCCACAGAGUGCAUCUGCUCUGGGGGACCCAUCGCUCAUAUACCCUCCCAUAAGAGCAGGAAAGGGGAUUCAUAAAGACGUUCUUCUGAUGGGGAAUGCUCUACGAGGCCGCCUUCACAUGAGAAAGCACCUCUUCAAAGACACACACCGGAGACUGUCUCUUCCUGGACUGCAAACUGAUCUCACCAAUCAAAUUCUUACUACUAUGUAGCCACCCUGGAGGCCUUUGAGAGGACAGUCAGAUGGUCAGAGAUGAGUCGCUCUGCAUUCUGCUCCCUGGGCCAAAAACGUCGACCUAGAAGGAAGGGGCUUAAGCACAAACAUGAUUUAAAAAGUUUGUUUGAGCCAAUGUGAGGACACUUGCCUGGAAGACUCAGAUCCAAGCAAUCUUGGAUGUGGGCUCCAUUUGCCCUUUGUUACAAGCAGGUUUCUAAAGACCAAAAAGGGAGACGGGGAGUUGGCUGGUACAAAAUUGCCUGUCAGGAACUCCCUGAAGUUUACAGAAAUAACAUUGAUUAAUGAUUAGCUAUACAUUGUUCAGCUACAGGGAGUGAGAGAUGGUGUCCAGUGCAGCAUGUUUAGGUUGCUUUAUAGCCACUUGUGAUGAUAGCAAGCUGUUUUAAUAGAUGAAUACACGGCUUCAAAACAGGGACAUAAGACGUUGUUGCUGUCUCAUUUUAAUGCCUAACUCUGGGCUUGUUAAUUUGAAAGCACUCACUUUCCUCACAUAAAAUUUCUUUUCUUUCCUCAGACAUUUGAAUUCUUUAUAGUUUAGGAAUAUUUUGAAUAAAUAUGUAUUUGUUUUACAUGUCUUUGGUAAACCAUAUUCACGUUUCUCUAGAAAUAGAAAUUCCAAUAGAAAUAUAAUGCCAGGCAUAUACGUACUUUUAAAUGUAUUAGUAGACAUGUUUUAAAAAGUAAAAAGAAAGAGGUGAAAUUAUUUUUUAUAAUAUAUAUUCAACUAAAUAUAUUUAAGGUAUUAUCAUUACCCCAUGUGACACUAGCAAGAUUUCAAGUGUUCAAUAGCUACCCGUGGUUUGUGGCUAUCAUAUUGGAAAGCACAAGUCUAUGGGGUAGAAAAGUUGAAUUUCUGGGUCAUAGCAUAUAUGUAUGUGUGUUUUACCACUAGAAUAUACAGGCAAACAAUUUUCCAAAGUUUUUGAACUUAUUUAUACUCUUGCCAGAAAUGAAUAGAAGAUUAUAACGCUUCCGUUGUGCCAAAAUCUGGGAAUGUCUUUUUUUUUAAGUCAAGUUUACUGAGGUAUAAUUAAAACUCACCAGCGUUACAUGUUGUACGUGGUUCUCAGUGAUAUACUCUCUUUGCAAAGCUGGCUUUUGGUGGUAGCUUUGAUUUAAAAGCUAAUGCCACGUAAAAAAAUUCAAUACGUAGGGCCAGGCGAGGUGGCUCAUGCCUGUAAUUCUAGCACUUUGGAAGGAUGAGGUGGACGGAUCACUUGAGGUCAGGGGUUUGAGAUCAGCCUGGCCAAAAUGGUGAAACCCCAUUUCUACUAAAAAUACAAAAAUUAGCCAGGUGUGGUGGGGGGAACCUAUAGUCUCAGCUACUUGGGAGACUGAGGCAGGAGGAUCAUCUGAGCUCUGGAGGCUGAAGUUUCAGUGAGCUAUCAUUGCA